rnacentral:lncRNA from 1 species
UUAAUAGCACCUAAUCUAGCAGCACCCUUGAUCACACAAGGCAAAGUGAAAUUAUCAGGCAACAAAAACCGAUGAAGCAAAUCACAAAACAGAGUUAAAGCUUCGUGGGAUCGUUGGUUAAAGACGUAGCACUUGAUGAGAAGGUUGUAGAGAACCAACGAGGGAUGUUGAAGAACUCGAUCAAAAAUGGAUCGAGCAUAGUGAAGGUUAUUGAUAUGAGGGUCGACGUAAAGAGAGAGAAGGCGAGAAGAGAUUCCGGAGUGAUAAAUGAGGUUGGUCUUGACGGAAAGGGCGUGGAGUUGUUGGGUUUCUUUGUGAGUGCUUGAGAAUUUGAGAAUAUUCCAGUGAAGACGAGAGGGUAAAUGCUUCUGGAGAGCAUGAAUUGGCGAUGAGUGUUGCAGCGUUUGCGUUUGCAUGGGCGCGCGCUCUUUGCGCAGCGUAGGAGCUGCGGAGCAAGUACAAUGAGAUCUAUCAGAGUCUCAGAACACAGAUACUAACAGUAGUUUAGAGAUUCACAUUUAUACAGUUUAUAGGGUCCAAUGGAGUAGUUUUCUAACAGUUAUGUUUGAUUGGCAAUGAGUUCUAAUCUUGGUGAGAAUUAGAAAUUUAAAUUUUAUCCAGCUCUGCCUUUUUAAAAAAUUAGUUACAAAAAAUAGAUGUCUUCAACACAAUAUAGAUCCUCGAAAGGAUCUCGAAGACCCACCAAAGCAUGAAAGCCAAGCAAGAUCUUUCGGAAAAUAGAUUUCCAUUCCAAGAGUGCAUAAACCAAAUGGAUAAGCUCACACUAACUUAAUCUAAUUCGGAAUUUUCUUUGGAGGGUAUGAUAAAGGAAUUGAAAUGGAAUAAUAAAAGGUUGAGAAUUCGAAAAUCUGCGCAGUUGUGGGAAGAGAAUUUGUUAAUUAAUAUUAUUAGCGCUGGCCAGUGCGUUGUUGGUGACUAUUUGAAUCAACUCAUAUAGCUCAAGAUUCACAAUAUCUGCAGUCUGUAAAUUAAUUUUAGUAUGCCGAUUUGAUUUCGGAUGGUCUUUGUUUAACACUUGCGGUGUGUUUACUUCGUAGAAUGAGAAUUGCGUGGAAUAGAAAUUGACUGAAAUGGGAAUGAGGAAUGAAAAUAAGAAUGAGAUUUUAAUGUUUAAUUGACAAACAUAAAUAGAAAUGGAAAUGUGCUUGAAUGCCAUUGAUAUGUUUACUUGGCAAAAUAAAUGGGAACGAAGAAUGUGAAUGAGAAUCAAUUUAUCCAAAUACCCAUAGUAUUAAUAAUUAAUAAAAAUAAUUAAUUUAUUAUUAUUAAUAUUAUUAUUAUUAUUGUUUUUAUUAUUACUAUUAUUAUUAAAUUUUAUUAUUAUUAAAUUUUAUUAACUUUAUUAUUUUAGUUAUUAUUAAUUAUUGUUAAUAUUAACUGCUUUAAUAUUAAAAAAAAAAGAUAGUUGUUUUUCAAGGAUUACCUGCAGUACGGCCAAGGCGGAUGGACGGUACAGCAGGGCAACAAAAACCGAUGAAGCAAAUCACAAAACAGAGUUAAAGCUUCGUGGGAUCGUUGGUUAAAGACGUAGCACUUGAUGAGAAGGUUGUAGAGAACCAACGAGGGAUGUUGAAGAACUCGAUCAAAAAUGGAUCGAGCAUAGUGAAGGUUAUUGAUAUGAGGGUCGACGUAAAGAGAGAGAAGGCGAGAAGAGAUUCCGGAGUGAUAAAUGAGGUUGGUCUUGACGGAAAGGGCGUGGAGUUGUUGGGUUUCUUUGUGAGUGCUUGAGAAUUUGAGAAUAUUCCAGUGAAGACGAGAGGGUAAAUGCUUCUGGAGAGCAUGAAUUGGCGAUGAGUGUUGCAGCGUUUGCGUUUGCAUGGGCGCGCGCUCUUUGCGCAGCGUAGGAGCUGCGGAGCAAGUACAAUGAGAUCUAUCAGAGUCUCAGAACACAGAUACUAACAGUAGUUUAGAGAUUCACAUUUAUACAGUUUAUAGGGUCCAAUGGAGUAGUUUUCUAACAGUUAUGUUUGAUUGGCAAUGAGUUCUAAUCUUGGUGAGAAUUAGAAAUUUAAAUUUUAUCCAGCUCUGCCUUUUUAAAAAAUUAGUUACAAAAAAUAGAUGUCUUCAACACAAUAUAGAUCCUCG